CUCUUUUUAAAACAUAAAAGUAAGUGCUAAAUUAAGUAGUUCGGCUGGUGAAUUAUUUGGGGGGGGGAUUGAUUACAUCAGAUGGAAACUUUGACACGUUCUUAUUAAAGGCGAGAUCAUCUACCAGUUUCUAGUUCCGGCCGUGAAUGUUGGAUUCAGGAUAAUUUUAGUGGGAGAUUUCCUAUCGAAUUUGGAGAUCCAGUCAGCUCAACUCUUCUACAUGUGUGUAAGCUAGAUACUUUUAUGAUUAAGUUAUUGCAUCUGGUUAAUUUACAUUUUUUGUAAAUAUUUAUGUAUGUCAUUUAAAAUUUGUUGAUUUGUGAAUUACAAGUUGUAAUUGUAUCAAAUAAAUAACGUUAAGAUCAAUACCAAGCAGUACUAAACCGUUAUUUUUCUUAAUGUAUGGUAUCACUGGUUAAUACCGCAUUUACUCAUUUAAUACCGCAUCGUUUUCGAUUCCUACCCCACGGUAUUAAUAAAGAAUACCAUGAUGCAAAAAAAAUCAAUACCGCAAGUCACAUUUUAUACCACGACGGUAUAAAUGCAGAAUAAUACCGCUUGGUAUUAAAUCAAUACCAAAACGGUAGAGUCA